GACGAACGCUGGCGGCGUGCUUAACACAUGCAAGUCGAACGGUAAGGCUCCAGCUUGCUGGGGUACACGAGUGGCGAACGGGUGAGUAACACGUGGGUGACCUGCCCUGCACUUCGGGAUAAGCCUGGGAAACUGGGUCUAAUACCGGAUAGGACCAUGGUGUGGAUACUGUGGUGGAAAGUUUUUUCGGUGUGGGAUGGGCCCGCGGCCUAUCAGCUUGUUGGUGGGGUAAUGGCCUACCAAGGCGGCGACGGGUAGCCGGCCUGAGGGGGUGGACGGCCACAUUGGGACUGAGACACGGCCCAGACUCCUACGGGAGGCAGCAGUGGGGAAUAUUGCACAAUGGGCGGAAGCCUGAUGCAGCGACGCCGCGUGGGGGAUGACGGCCUUCGGGUUGUAAACUCCUUUCACCAUCGACGAAGGGUUUCUGACGGUAGAUGGAGAAGAAGCACCGGCUAACUACGUG
rnacentral:rRNA from 1 species